GGGCCCAUAGCUCAGUUGGUAGAGCGUGCGCAUGGCAUGCGCGAGGUCGCGGGUUCAAGUCCCACUGGGUCCACCA
rnacentral:tRNA from 1 species